CGCGUCCGUUAAGAACCCCACGCCUUUAUUGUCGGCGAAGGAAGGCGAACGAGGAAAGCCUAGCCGCCUGAGGAAGGAACGCCAAGAUCCGCAAGGCCGGCGACCAUGGCAGCGGUUCAGUGCGCAGCGAGGAGGCUCGGUGGCUCCCUGCUCCAGCGAACGCAGGCGGCGGUCGCGGCGGACGGAUGCCAGGUCGCGCCAAGCAGCCUGAUGCGCUGCCGCGGGCUCUCCAGCGAGGUCCCCAGCGAGGCGCAUGAUGUCCAUCGAACAUGCGGCUAAGAGUGUCGUAUAUGGAGCUGCCAAGUUGACUAUUUCGUAUGUGGCUGUUGUUACUGCUUUCCAGGCUUUUACCGAGGAAAACUAGUAGUGAACAAAAGAUGCAAAGAUGCGAACCAAAGAUGGCCACGACAUGUUUUUAGUUUAAUUAUAACCUCUGCAGUUUUGCUAGCUAGCACUAUGCCAUCGUACGUUGUGAUAUUGUGUGACACGGUAUCAUGUUAUUAUAUCUCUUUAUAUCUAUUCGAAUAGACUGCCUGCAUGCAUGCAUGAAACUGUAGCUUGAUGCGAACACAUGUGCAUACCUUG